UCUGAUUUCAGAGGAGGCAGCAGCUUGGUGUGUAGCUGUCUGGGUGCAGCAGAGCCUCUCCCGCAGCUCCAUUUGUCAGCACGGGUAUGGCUGGAGCUCUGCUGCUGUGUCCCCUGUGGUGGGGCAGCCCCCAGGAAUCCCCUGUGAUGGGGUGGCCCCCAAGGACCCUUGGCUGGUACAGAGAUUAAUUUACUUUCAAGCAUGCGUGCACGAGGACCACCACAACUGUGACAGUCUAAAGAACUACUUGCAUUCAUUCACCGUUUUCCAGCUCUGGUCUGGGCCGUGGAGCAGUGAAGGGGUCAGGGGGCUCUCCCUGGUGCAGCGGGGGGGAGCUGCCCUGCAGCGUGGCGCUGGCGGUGGAUCUGCUGCGGCACCCGGCCGAGCUGGGAUGAGGGAUGAGCUCACAACGAGCACCGCAAAGGGACUAAUUAAGGGAACACGAGGAGCACCGAUAGCGGUGUGAAGGCCCUGAAGAAGCAUCGAAGCCCCAGACAGGGUGCUCCUCAGUGUCCCUGCAGUGUGCUCCUCUCCAUACAUAAAGAAACCCCCGGGGCCUGGAUGUUUGGAGCUGCUUGUGAGCGGAGUGGCAGCAGCCCUUGUGUGGAGGGAAGCUGUCCUCCCCUCCGCCCCUCGGCUUCAGGGAUCUUGAAAGCUGAGCAGACAGCUCUUACCUGCCAGCAGCGUAAAGAAGCGGUUCCUGUAGCAAGUGCUUUGCAACCUGCUGCAGCGUGGUCAGGACCCUGCUAGGGAUGGAGCCCUCCUGCUGUCCUCCUGGGCAAUGUCCCGCACGCCUGCACGGUGCCUGUGGUUGCUGUCAGCCCCAGUGGUGUUCCUGCACAGUCGUAGCAACUUAGCAGGACUGAGCUGGCCAAACAAGGAGGGAGUUCACCUGCCCAGAGGAGCUCGCAGAAAUCACAGCCUCUAAGUUCUGCGGAAAACAAAACAAGAAAGAGUGAAAUCAAUUCAGUGCUGGGAGAGAAGAAGCUGGCAGGACUCAAUAGUGAACACCACCCAGUAGCUGGCCUGCUGGGUGCAAUAAUAUUGAAGCAAAAAUCAAAGCGACUCUUGCAGAAGCUGCGAGCAAUAGAUGAGCUGUCUAAAUGGUGCAGCGCUGCGAGGACGAAGAGUGCUCAGAAUGCGAGGCAGAGGCAAACACGGGGAGGGAGGCCGAUUUGUUUGAGCAGGGGGCAAUUAAAUCUCCUGGUGGAAUGUGAACAUCCAGCUUGGGAUGGAAAUGCAACCAAACACACAGUGAGGUUGAUCAGAGAUUAAAAGAAAGCAUGAGAAUUCGGCCUUGCAAACGUUGCGCUGGCCCCAUUAGCUGAUGGGGUGCAGACCCCUUGUUUUGUGGACCCCUCCUCUCUGCAGACCCCUCGUCUCUGCUGCUGGUGGGUGUGUGUGGCUCAGCCUUCACAGCACCAAGCACCCGAAGGGUGCCAGCUGGAGGGGGGCCCUCCAAACCAGCCUAAAGCAGGUCGUGCUGCUGGGCGGGGAUGCCCCAUUUUGGAAAAAAGAGGAAAAUAUGGAGCUGAUUAUAUCCAUUUGCCUCACAGCAUUGCUGUGUAUUGAAAUCCCAUACCUAAACAGGAAAAUCAUAGUCUAGUUCUGAUCCUUUGACCAGAAUGAUAUCUGGAUUGCAAAAUGCUAAAGAGGAUUAGAGAGCUUGCAUGGAUCUAAAAGAGGUAAUAAAAGAUUUCACUUAUUCA